GACGAACGCUGGCGGCGUGCUUAACACAUGCAAGUCGAACGGUAAGGCCCUUCGGGGUACACGAGUGGCGAACGGGUGAGUAACACGUGGGUGAUCUGCCCUGCACUUCGGGAUAAGCCUGGGAAACUGGGUCUAAUACCGGAUAGGACCACUGCCUGCAUGGGUGGUGGAAAGCUUUUGCGGUGUGGGAGGGGCCCGCGGCCUAUCAGCUUGUUGGUGGGGUGAUGGGCUACCAAGGCGACGACGGGGAGCCGGCCUGAGAGGGUGACCGGCCACACUGGGACUGAGAUACGGCCCAGACUCCUACGGGAGGCAGCAGUGGGGAAUAUUGCACAAUGGGCGCAAGCCUGAUGCAGCGACGCCGCGUGAGGGAUGACGGCCUUCGGGUUGUAAACCUCUUUCAGCACCGACGAAGCGCAAGUGACGGUAGGUGCAGAAGAAGGACCGGCCAACUACGUGCCAGCCGCCGCAGUAAGAC
rnacentral:rRNA from 1 species